UACGGAGGGUGCAAGCGUUGCUCGGAAUUAUUGGGCGUAAAGGGCAGGUAGGUGGUCUCGUUUGUCUGGGGUGAAAGCCUUGAGCUUAACUCAAGAAGUGCCUUAGAAACGGCGAGACUAGAGUCUUGGAGAGGGUCGUGGAAUUCCCGGUGUAGCGGUGAAAUGCGUAGAGAUCGGGAGGAACACCAGCGGCGAAGGCGGCGACCUGGACAAGUACUGACACUGAGACGCGAAAGCGUGGGGAGCAAACAGG
rnacentral:rRNA from 1 species